AUUGCAGAGGAGGGAGGGACGGGAGAGGAGAGCACCACGGUGAUGCGGUGACACAUGGCUGCCUGUGCCGCCUGCGCGCUCUGACUGCGGCUUCCACUUUUUCCAUUCACCGGGGAGGAGGAAAUAACUGGUGGAGGUGGGGGUGAGGAGGAGGCUGGACACUGGGAUGCUGAGAGACGCUGCUGCUGCUGCUGCUGCUGCUGGAGGCUGCCGCAUCCACCGACCGGGCUCAGCCAAGCUCGGAAGAGACCGUGGGACCACCGGGAGCCUGCUCCUCGCAUCGUGUUUACAGUGAGGAGCUUUUUGUCCCCGCCGAGCCGCCGUAGCCAUGGGAGACAACAUGUCCAAGCGCCUGAAGCUGAUCUCGGCUACGGAGGCGGAGAUGGAGGAGCGCUCCUUCCCCAACCCGUUCACCGACUGGGACCAGGGAGUCACGUCCAACUCCGGAGCGGACGUGGACUACAACGACCCGUUCGACGCGGAGGGGAAGGUGAGCGCGUCGUUCCAAGGGAAGGUCGAGAGUAAGAUCAAAGAUCUCCUCCAGCAGAUGGAGGAGGGCCUGAAGACCGUCGACCCUCAUGACUUCUCCACUUACACCGGCUGGACAGGCGUCGCCUUGCUGUACCUGCAGCUGCACCGGGUGUCCCACGAGGCCUCCCACCUGCAGAGGGCGCUGGACUACGCAAAGAGGGCCAUGAGGAUCCUGAACGGCCGCAAGGUGACGUUCCUGUGCGGCGAUGCGGGGCCGCUGGCGGUGGGCGCCGUGGUCCACCACAAACUCGGCAACGCCGCCGACAGCAAAGAGUGUCUCUCCAGACUCCUCCAGCUGCAGCGCUCGGUGCUGAGUCCAGACGCCGAGAUGCCCGACGAGCUGCUCUACGGCCGGGCCGGCUACCUCUACGCCCUGCUCUACGUCAACAAAGAGAUAGGAGCUGACACGGUGGACGAGGGCACCAUUGCAAAGGUGGUGACAGCCAUCUUGGAAUCGGGGAAGAACAUGUCAGCGGAGCAGAAGAAGACCGACCGCUGUCCUCUGCUCUACGAGUGGCACAAGAAGCAGUACAUCGGCGCGGCCCACGGCCUGGCUGGGAUCUAUUACACACUCAUGCAGCCAGGAGCAAAAGUCCAGUCAGACGUGCUGUCCGAGUUGGUCCGUCCCAGCAUCGACUACGUCCGCCACAAGAGGUUCCGAUCGGGGAACUUCCCAUCGUCCCUGAGCAACGAGAGCGACCGGCUGGUGCACUGGUGCCACGGGGCGCCGGGGGUCGUCCAUUUGCUCAUCAUGGCUCAUAAGGUGUUCAAAGAGGAGAAGUACCUGAAGGAAGCUGCAGAAUGUGCCGAGGUGAUCUGGCAGCGCGGUCUGCUCAGGAAAGGCUACGGCAUCUGUCACGGCACUGCCGGCAAUGGCUACGCCUUCCUGUCCCUGUACAAGAUCACCCAGGACAAGAAAUACCUGUACCGGGCCUGCAAGUUUGCCGAGUGGUGUUUGGACUACGGCACCCACGGCUGUCGCAUCCCCGACAGACCGUACUCGCUUUUCGAAGGUAUGGCCGGAGCCAUCCAUUACCUGUCGGAGAUGGACUCGCCCGAAGCCUCCUGUUUCCCCGCCUUUGAACUUUGACCCGCCGACCUGAUGGGACUGGGGGAUGGCGAAAGGGGGUUCACUGGUCCUUGUGUUUGGUGGUGAAUUGUGUCCUGGUCUCGGCAGCAAGGCGGAGAAAUGCUAAGACCGAGAGAAACUGAUGCUGUAUGGGGGCCCCGGACUAUUUCUAAAACCUGCUACCGGUUUCCUGAAGUGCAGAAACCAGAGACGGAGCCGUCGACAGCCUGUGGCCCAGACACUGUGGAGCCUGUUAUGGCCACCAGAUGUAAUUACAUUACAAUAACGGAAGAGUCUUCGCUCUCUGCAUCAAGGAACAGGACGGCGGCGGGUGGUUGCAGUAGGACGGAGGCGGAGGGUAGGAGGCCAGCAUCAUAUGGGCGGAGCCGGGCUGUGCGGCGUACGCCGGGAGUGUCAUGGUGACCCCGGGGUCACCACCCGUCAUGCCGUUGACCCCGAAGCCCUGCAUACUCCCCGGCUGCUGGGAAACUGGAGGAAAGUAAAGAAAUGGGUUUCAUUUAAUAUCGGUUCACUUGCUUACGGAUUGUAUGGUCUGUAGCUCUAUCAUCAUACACAGUCAUAUUUUAUACACCACGCAUGGUUCAUCACCGUCUCUUCGUGGACGUUGGUUCAGUUUAUAAUCGGAAUGAUUCCAGUCUUGCUUGUUUUGUCAGGCUCCUUUUGGCUGUUAUUUCUAAAAGUUAUUAUCUGAAACCUCAAACAUCCAAUCACUGAGGACUUGGCAUUCACUUUCUAAGUGAGUGUUUGUUUUCUUGGUUUCGCUGCUGGUCUGGCGAAUGUCUGAGUGUACUGAGAAAAACAUAAAUCUGUGUUAUGUUUUUAUACAUUUUUGUGGUCCAAAAACGUGACAAUUCUUAAUUUCACAAUGCCCCAGAAACCAGAAACCUAUUCUAAAGCCUGCGGUAUCUAGUUGGCCUUCAGAAAUGAGUUUUACAUUGUGGUUAUUAUUGUGGGCCUCCGUUCAAUUUUCUGCUCGGUUGACUCACACACCUCAACUUUUAAAUGAACCAUUUCAGGCCACUGAUUAUAACAGGACCGGGGUUUGAUUAGUUUUUUGUCAAUUACGCCGUUUGAAACCUUCGAAUUUGACUUGGCAGUCACACAAAAAAAGCAGUAUUCUGAGAUGAUAUUUCAACAUUCAAUUUCCACCUGAAAGUACUUUCAUGGAGGGACUGUUUUGAUGGCUGCUCUAUGAAUAGCCGUUGGAAGGAAAGGGGGCUGGUUAAGUAAUAGACCACACCAAACACCGGUGUCCUGUGACGGAUCUCACCGGCUCCCAUUGUGCGCACAAAAGUUACUACUACACUAUCAUUUCUUUUAUUAAUGUAGAUCCUGUACUGUUCCUCCAGACAGAUUUGAGGCAGACAAGUACCCAAGGAACUCAAAGCUUAACUAAAUAUUUUAUACCUGUCAUCUCACCUACAAUAGUGAGAAUACAAUAUUGUUAAAAGGCCUUUGUUUAAUUAGUCCCCAGAUUUUACUCCCAUUAAAGCAUAAUGUAAAACAUAUCUGAAUGUGGAGAGGCUCCCGCGACCUCGACUUAUUUAGCAAAGUGGGUUGAGUUUGAGUCUCAUGCAAGCACCUGCCUGAUUUCCAAAAAGCAUUUUGUGGAUCUGUGCUGUGUACUUGCAUGUCACUGUACCUGGUGAGGUGACGGGGUGCCUGGUGAAGGAGACGUUGAACGCCGGCUCGUCUCUCAGAGGGGACGGGUACAUCCGUCUGCGGAUGAAGAACCCGGCGCCGCAGCAGAACAGCACUCCCAUCAUCAGCAGCACCCUGAGAGACGACGGUGAACAGAAGGCGCCGUCAGCCACACACAACAUCGCGAAGAGCACACCCGGCGUCUGACCGGCGGGGAGCGGAGGGAAAGAUCCUUCUUAGGUUCCAGAGACGAAGGGUAAUCGAAAUGCUUUGGACGUGUACGUCCACACAAAUUGGUUUUUCAUUUUCAGUUUGCAUCGUGUUCGUUUUUAGUCAUUAUUUGAGUCAUCCUUGCCAAAAGUCUCCAUUUCAGGGCCUAGCAGAAGGUGAUGCGUUUAAAGAAACACAAAUGUAUGUAUGCGUGUGUGUGCAUUCAUCACUCCGAAAUCCAGGAUUCUGUUUUGAGGGCCACCUCUUUUCAUAACACUCUCUUGAAUUUACCGAUGUAUAAUUCCAAGAACAAAAUGUCAGUAGGGAGGAGGAGACGCUGCGAUGAAUCACAGCCGAGCUGUCAAAGGCGCAGCGAGGAGCUCAACUGCUCGAAGCAAACACAUUCACACUUUGUGAAAAGUGGACAAAGACGGCGUUUGCUUACAUUUCAUAAUUCCGAGGGGGUAGAACGACAGCUUCUGCAAACUCACCAGAAGUACCAUAGUCGCUGGAUGGACAGGGCUCUCACACAGCAGCGCGUCCCGCAGCAGUCCUCGUAGGAGCGACAUCUGCCACGAGGGGAGGUCAUGUGGAGAACAAGUGAACAAAAGAGUUACAGCGUAGCAUAAUAAAUGAAGUGAUUAUUUGAUCUGGUAAAAGAUCAAAUAAUCUUUUACCAGAUUAUUUAUCGCGCUUUUGUGCUUCGUAAAGUAAUCUUAACAAAAA